GGCUCAGGAUGAACGCUGGCGGCGUGCUUAACACAUGCAAGUCGAACGAAGCGCUUUACCUGAUCCCUUCGGGGUGAUUGUUCUGUGACUGAGUGGCGGACGGGUGAGUAACGCGUGGGUAACCUGCCUCAUACAGGGGGAUAACAGUUGGAAACGACUGCUAAUACCGCAUAAUGCAUUUGAGUCGCAUGGCUCUGAAUGCCAAAGAUUUAUCGCUCUGAGAUGGACUCGCGUCUGAUUAGCUAGUUGGUGGGUAACGGCCCACCAAGGCGACGAUCAGUAGCCGGACUGAGAGGUUGGCCGGCCACAUUGGGACUGAGACACGGCCCAGACUCCUACGGGAGGCAGCAGUGGGGAAUAUUGGGCAAUGGGCGCAAGCCUGACCCAGCAACGCCGUGUGAAGGAAGAAGGUCUUCGGAUCGUAAACUUCUGUCCUUAGGGAAGAUAAUGACGGUACCUUUGGAGGAAGCCCCGGCUAACUACGUG
rnacentral:rRNA from 1 species